AAACGCUACAUUUUAUUGCGUAAAAUAUCGUAUUACGAAUCACACAAAUUUCAUGAUGAACCUAAUUGCUUAAAAGCUUAUUGAAAAUUUGCAUUCGUUUAAAACGAACCUGUCAAUAUAAACAAAAAAAUAAAAGAUUAUUUUAAAUACCUCGAGACCAUGGAAAAUAGAAAAAAUAUAAUGGUGUUUUGGUUAGGUAAUACUAAUGUAUUGUCUUAUCGUUUAA